rnacentral:tRNA from 1 species
ACUUACGAGAGGUUCUCUCCCUUUCCA